CGCAAUUGUCGCCGUGAACGAGGAAGAUUCUUCAUUCCAUUGUUGAAGCCCAAGAAUAACCAUGCGUCUCGUGUACGUCGGUCACGUGUACGUGUUGUGAAUAUUUUUUGUAGCACGAGGUAUUGUGAAGUGGGGCAGCAUAAGACUUGUGUUCCAUAUAAAUGGAGAAGGAUCUAAGGUUAAAAGAGUAAAACGAUAACCUGCUGCUGUACACACAAGAGUGGCGUCAUUAAUAGAGACUCUGACUCAUUUCAAAGAAAUGUGGAGAUUGUAAAUAGUAAAAUGAUUUUCUUCUUAAAUUUUGAUAUGUACCUCUAUAAAUGUAAGUUUUAAUGUUGAUAAUGCACACCUAUGAAUGUAAACCUGUGUCACAUUUCUUUAUUGUUUAUAAAAAAGAUUUCGUGAUUUGUUAUUACAGCCAUUUUGUAUUAUUUCAGCUUUGAGAUUAUAAAUUUUAAGCUGUUUUUUAGUUAAGCUAUUUUUAACAUGUUUGAUGGUAACGGAGCAUACUAUGUAAAUUGUGGUGUAUUCGGACUUGUUUAUUGUAUUAUUGUUAGUGUGUUACCAAUCAAUUCUUAUUUGCAAUUAUUAUUUGGGGUUUAAAACUUUAAAUUUGUAAAACUUCUGUGCUUCUAUUGAUAGUAGGAUAAUAAUUUCAGCGUGGUGUUAGUUAUUUAUGUUAAGUAUUUAUUCUCUAGAGAUUAACUUUUUUGAAACCUUUUACAGUCAAGACCCAUACCGACAAGCCAUGUCCUCAAGAAACUUGCCUUUGUUGCAUUGUUUUUCUUUAAGAUUGUGUUUAACUGUAAAUAGCGUAAAACAGUCACUUUUUAAACAUGAAAUAUUUUUCUUGGUAUAGGAAAACUUUUCCUGAAGACAAUGGUCUAGAUACAAGUGUUUCCAAUGACAAUUAGAGAUUUUUUUAAUUUUAAUCUUUGAUGGGUUUAUUGUAAUACAAUGAAGUGUUUAACUCAUUUACUCAAUAAUUAAUUCAUCAACGCACAGCCCAAAUCGUUGGAUCUAGACCAAUGGGUUUUUUUAGCAAAUUUUUCAAUUUUGCAAAAUUUGUUAAGAGGGUGAAAGGCAGUAGAAUGUUUUUUUCUUUUCUUUCCCUUAAAUUACCUAAUGUACCGAGGUGUUAUUUUCUUAAGAAUGAGGUUUAUUUAAAUACCUAAAGUAUUUUCAGAAAUUUUCUAAAUUCAAACUUUUAAGCCGUUAAAAAAAUUGGUUGUCUGUAAAGUCGGUUUACGGACGAUAGUUUAACGUGACAACGUCAUAACAAAACAUUGAUGAAAUUAUUGAUCCAGAAGAAAAGGAAAUAUCAUAUUCGGCUUGAGACUGAGCCGUAAUAGGUUUUUGCAACCAUAACAUUUAGGCAUUAAAAAUAUUAUAUUCUUUGAGGAAGAAUUUUUUAAAUUUUUCUAUCUUUUGUAUGAUAAAAUCUACCUCUGCAUACUUUUAUAAAAACAUUGAAUCAAUUUUAUUGAAUUGUCAAUAUUUUGUAUGGAUACAAAGGAGUGAAAUGAAAUGUUCAAAUUAAUUAAUACAUUUCUUUUAUUUGCAUUCAUAGAUUCAAAUAUAUUUAUUACAUUUGAAAUGUUGCGUGCGACGUAUUUCUUUUUACAAGUACAAAAAAUAUUCGUAGCUACCAAGAUUCGAACCGCUAACCUUUCAAUUAGAAGUCAUCCACGCUGACCACACGACCACGAGUCCAUUUUGAGAAUACAUGUUUCAGAUGGUGUAAAUUAAUACUAUUCCACGCACGAUGUUUGUUUGAAUUUCUUUUAACUAGCAUAUUAUCUGUUGGACUCGAAAUAUUUACACGCUCGUGGGCUCAUAACUAUAAUACGGUGUGUGAUUUAAUUUAUCAAAUAAUAACUCAUGACAAAUAAUUACCAAUUUCAAACCAAAGCGUGAAAAGUAUCAUACCAGCAAUAAAUAUUUAGUUACACAGCUAAAACAAUACUCAUACAACACUGUUUAAAUAUACUGUAUUACAAUAGUAAUUAAGAUAAUACGUACUUGUAAGAACGCCAUUUCCUUGCGAAUAUACUCCCGUGGCGUGUUGCACAACAAUAACCUCGAACCAGUACGCCGCCACGUGCCGGCCGUUCUCUGUACCGUCCGCAACAUACCCGAGAGAUGCCACGCAUGUAGUGGGACAUCGGUAGUGGGACAUCCGUAGUGGGACAUCCGUAGUGGGACAAUUUCGUGCGUGCAGCCAGCGUUCAUCGAUUUAUUAGACGUUGUCACGUCAAAAACAAAAUAGGUUUCUAAUUAAUUAUCUGUAUCUGUUAAAUUUGUUGAGAUGAUAUCUUGAUAAGAAGUAAGGUUGUGAAAAUUUCUACAAAUCAGUUUCUGGAUUUUAUGAAAUUUGAAACUUAAUGAUGUGAAAAGCAGUAAAAUGUUAAGACUCCUGUAAAAUGAGCAUGACCAUGGAGAAAUAAGCAGUUACUUUUUGCCAUAUUUAGAGAUAAACCUCUUUGGUGUGGGCCUGUACUCAAGAAAACAUUCUAACGAUCUCCUUGAAGCAUUGUCGAGUAUUUAAGUCUGCUAUGUUAUGUUGGGGGGGGGGGGGGGGGGUCCGUAUUCCACGUAAUACUUUGCGAAAUUUAUUACUGUGAUAUGUGCACAAAUAUUAUCGACAGCCAGAAGAUAGCGAUGUAACACUCGAUUAAUUUGAACUGCUCUAACUUAGGACUAGAGAGCCGAUAAGGGGAACAUGGGUCGGAUAUAGAGCAGUGUAUGGAAUGAAGGGUGGGGGAAACUGUGCUCUCCAAAUGUCAUUAUUCAAGCACAAUUCACACAUGGGAAAAUAAUUUAUAUCAAAAGAAUACCUCCAAAGAAUUUCCUCAGAAAAGGGCUGUGGGGAGGGCAUGUAUAUUAAAGACAGCUGCCCAACUGUUUACCUUACAUUAUUCCACGCGGGCAAAGUCGUAGCUGGGCAGCUAGUUUUGGUAUAAGAUGACAAUAUGAGGUAUAAAAGCAACAUAAUGUAGU